AGUGAACGCUGGCGGUAGGCCUAACACAUGCAAGUCGAACGGCAGCACAGUAAGAGCUUGCUCUUACGGGUGGCGAGUGGCGGACGGGUGAGGAAUACAUCGGAAUCUACUUUUUCGUGGGGGAUAACGUAGGGAAACUUACGCUAAUACCGCAUACGACCUACGGGUGAAAGCAGGGGAUCUUCGGACCUUGCGCGAUAGAAUGAGCCGAUGCCGGAUUAGCUAGUUGGCGGGGUAAAGGCCCACCAAGGCGACGAUCCGUAGCUGGUCUGAGAGGAUGAUCAGCCACACUGGAACUGAGACACGGUCCAGACUCCUACGGGAGGCAGCAGUGGGGAAUAUUGGACAAUGGGCGCAAGCCUGAUCCAGCCAUACCGCGUGGGUGAAGAAGGCCUUCGGGUUGUAAAGCCCUUUUGUUGGGAAAGAAAAGCAGCAGGUUAAUACCCCGCUGUUCUGACGGUACCCAAAGAAUAAGCACCGGCUAACUUCGUG
rnacentral:rRNA from 1 species